AGAUAGGUAAGCAACUCCUUCCGCUAUUCGGUCAUUGGUUCUGGGUGACCGUCAUUUUCCCACGAGAAGUGUUGUCAAAACACCGACACCAUGUUCCAUUGAUAGGAACUGCAAUAAAAAAGUGCAAUUCCAGUGCAAUUUCGGGGCAGAGAUUUGGCACCGAAAAUUUUGUCGGUGGAGCCAGUGCACUCACUAAUACCAUCAAACAAAACGUCAAAUCAAGACAAAAUGGCAGCCUGAAAAAUAUUCUAUCAACAUCCAAGAUUAAUUAUUUCAAAAUGCUACAUCGAAUCUUUGCUGGAGUUGUCGAUAAACCCGUUAUAAGGGUGUCAGCUCCAGAAGAAUAUACGAAAAAUCUGUUCUGUCGGAUAAAAUACCGUAAUGCAAGUCGAUCGGAUCAAAUCAGAUGUGAUCUUUGUGGCUAAUGUUACAAGAAGCUAGCUGGAAGCAUCAACUAACAUUUUAUGUGAGUAGCGCCGCCACCAGUUGGUGGAUUACACUGUCGAAGUAUGUUGGUUGGGGACCUUUGGAUGGAACCACUUUUCAUCGUUACGUUGUGGAAGAUGAAGACCAUGUCACUUCCAUCAAACCAAAAGGGAUUCUUAUGUACUGCUUUAUGGACAACUCAGUGCAUUAACUAAUUUGAUUGGUAAUACCAAAGGAAAUCAGUGUCAACUAAUCAGGGCAAACGAUCAACACAGUGUGAAAGAAUUGAAGAAAAAUAUUCUAUUGUAAUUUGUAAAAGGACAAUCGACGCGGCGAGUGUUUCGCUUGGAAUAAAUUUGAAAGUGAAUUCUGUGCGGCAAGGUCGAUAAGCAAGCUAAGCAGUUUAGGCCAACUAAGUUUGAAGAUUCGCCGGAUAUUAUCAGCAAGUAGUUUUAGCUAGAUCAGAAAAAACAGUUUCGGUGACGGUUUUUCCUAUAUCUAUUAUUAGGAGUAUGAAUGAAAUACUACACCUUGGUAAAGUAUGGUGCGAUUUAGAUUUAUAAUCAUUCGACGAUGGAAUAACUGUGAAUUGCUAAGUAUUACACUAAUGAGUUUCUUGGUUGCUCAACAGAAGGGCCCCAUUCUCACAGUGACUGUGGCCUAGUGACUAGAAGAAAAUUUUCUUCUAGGCACUAAAGGGCCGCUUUUUUCACCCCCGCUUAACUUUUAAACCAGGUUCAACGCACAGACAAACUUGGUUUAAAAGUUGAGUGACGAGGAAGAAAUCGGACCUAAGUGAUGUGACUUGGAGAAUAGGGCCCGAAUUAUAGCGACAAAUGUGUUGUUAGUUGUCGUUCCUUGAAGGAAAGUUACUUUAAAAAAUGAUAUAGGUACACGCAAACGAAUUGUACAUGUAAUAAAAUUAUCACAAAAGGAAAUAAUUACGCGCUUAUAAAAUCAUGAAUUGAGUUUAGUAGAAAAACUGAUUGGUCGAGUGAGAAUGCCUAUUCUAAAUUUUUAAACCAGGUCCAACUCACAGCGUGGUUGAAGAAAGCGGCUCGUCAUGAAAAGUAUAUAAAAUCAAUAUUGUUUGAACGAUCUAAUAAAUAA